GACCUGGUAGUGUAGUGGUACACCCCUUGUAGUAGUAACGUCUCUGCUAGGUAUUUCCCGAGGUGAUCCCGUUCGAUUCGGGGCCAGGUCU